UUGAAAAUGUCGGGCCGGAUAGGGCAGUUCUGGCCCGGCCCAUAAUUCUACGAGCCACUCUGGGCCACCGGGGUUGUGGGCGCCGACCCGACUGCUUGAGGCAACGCCGACUCUGCAUCAGCUCGCAGGCUUUGUCGCACGCCUUGGCUGGCCGGCCUGAGACUGAGAUUGAGCAAAGCGGGCAAUGAGCGGAGCCGGAGCACCGGAUUUCUUCUACAGAGAAGCUCAACGCCUCGGCUAUGUCGCUCGCUCUGCCUUCAAGCUGCUACAGAUGCAAAAUAAGUACAAGCUGAUAACUGCUGGGUCCUCUGUUCUCGACCUCGGCUGUGCUCCUGGCGCUUGGCUUCAGGUUGCUUGUCAGAGUUUGGGUCCUCUGAAAAAUGGUGGGUCUGUCGUUGGGAUUGAUCUCAAGAAGGUCAAGGUUCCUACAAUGCACUGCGAUGCUAGAGUUCAGACAGUUUGUGCCGAUGUUAGGAACUUCCCGAAGCACCAAAUUAAGGCUCUUUCUCCUCAGCAAAGAGGGUUUUCCGUCGUACUCUCCGACAUGUGUCCCUUAGUUUCUGGGAUUGCAACUACAGAUUCGGCUUUAUCCACUGAAUUAGGGAUGCGAGCGCUUGAGGUAGCUGUUGGCAGGUCUGCCUUUGGUCACAUGAAUGGCGGUAUCCAAAUGGAUGGACAGUCAAACCCAUCUGCUUCUGCUCCUGAUGACAAGGGUGUGUUGCGACCAGGGGGACACCUAGUCAUUAAGCUUCUCGAAAGUGAGGAUGCACAAGAAUUCCGCCGGAUUUGCGGUCCACUUUUCAGUAAGACAUCAUGGUUGAGGCCCAAAGCUACGAGGCCUUCAUCAAGAGAGAUCUUUUAUAUCUGUCAAAGUUUGCUCUCCUGAAAAUGCCGUUGCUUCAAUUGUUUGAGAAUAUUCCUGGAAGCUAAGCUUUCUUGGGCGAUCCGGUUGGCUGGCGCCAUGUAUUAUUUGACUGGUAUUCUUUUCCCCCAUCCACUACACAAACCUAAUUGUCGGCGGACUUUCUUUUCUCUAACUUACAGAUUGGCUGUCCUUUAUCGUAAUAAUGGUAGUUCACAAUAUGGAAGUUAUUAAUGUACUAGUCCUAGCCUUCAAUGGCACAACUACUAUGAGGAAUUGUUGCUUUUGAGGUAUCCAAUUCACUGUUAUACUUUCACCUUUCCA